UCCCUGGUGGCCUAGUGGCUAGGACUUGGUGCUUUCACCACUGCAGCCUGGGUUCAAUCCCUAGUCUGGGAA
rfam:Sus scrofa chromosome 3.